UACGAAGGGGGCUAGCGUUGCUCAGAAUCACUGGGCGUAAAGGGUGCGUAGGCGGGUUUUUAAGUCAGAGGUGAAAUCCUGGAGCUCAACUCCAGAACUGCCUUUGAUACUGAAAGUCUUGAGUAUGGGAGAGGUGAGUGGAACUGCGAGUGUAGAGGUGAAAAUUCGUAGAUAUUCGCAAGAACACCAGUGGCGAAGGCGGCUCACUGGCCCAUUACUGACGCUGAGGCACGAAAAGCGUGGGGAGCAAACAGG
rnacentral:rRNA from 1 species